AACGAACGCUGGCGGCAUGCCUAACACAUGCAAGUCGAACGAGACCUUCGGGUCUAGUGGCGCACGGGUGCGUAACGCGUGGGAAUCUGCCCUUGGGUUCGGAAUAACACAGAGGAAUUUGUGCUAAUACCGGAUGAUGUCUUCGGACCAAAGAUUUAUCGCCCAGGGAUGAGCCCGCGUAAGAUUAGGUAGUUGGUGGGGUAAUGGACUACCAAGCCGACGAGCUUUAGCUGGUCUGAGAGGAUGAUCAGCCACACUGGGACGGAGAUACGGCCCAGACUCCUGCGGGAGGCAGCAGUGGGGAAUAUUGGACAAUGGGCGCAAGCCUGAUCCAGCAAUGCCGCGUGAGUGAUGAAGGCCUUAGGGUUGUAAAGCUCUUUUACCCGGGAUGAUAAUGACAGUACCGGGAGAAUAAGCUCCGGCUAACUCCGUGCCAGCAGCCGCAGUAA
rnacentral:rRNA from 1 species